GAGAUCAAAUUGCCCCAAGCCUCUCACUGUUAGGACACAGAACACACAUGACAGCUCAGCAUCUUAUGUGCCGCGGACCAUCUGUUUUGCACCACCAGGCUCCUCACCAAGAGGCCAGUGAAGGAGAAGCCUCUGGCAGGUGGGAGUGGCUGAGAAAGACAGAUGAGCAACCUAGACACAGUGCCUAGAGCUGAACACCUCCCUGUGUCCACUGCCUUCUCCGUCUCAGACUUGAUAAAAUGUCUCUUUUCUCAUCAUGGAUCGAAGCUAUUUUCAUCAUCUCUUUGGUGUUUCCUCUUUAUUCUGAAGCCAAACUGUGAAAAACAUCCACCUGGGCAAAAUGAUUGCACCACAGAUUUAUAUCCAGUCUGUGCAAGCAAUGGAAACACUUAUGGCAAUCUAUGUGCUUUCUGCACCGAAAAGAGGAAGAGUGGUGAGAAAUUUACUUUCUUACAUUUUGGUGCUUGUUGAAUAUUGACCACACUGCCCUUCGAUGUGUCAUCACAUUUUAUGACACAUUCCAUGGAUGAUUAGGAUAUCAUUCUCAAUCAGAGCCUGAAAUCAUAAAUGACCGGAUGUGUCCUGUGAACAGAAGAUAAAAUAGAGAGCAUUUACGUAGUCUUCCCAACUCUAAGUUCCUGUGAUUCAGGGUUUUUAAUUCUCUAUGUUCAAUUAUUCAAUGAUAAUUUGAAACACUAAUGUCCUAAUUGCAUGUUUCAUCACAUGGAAAGUUGUAU
rnacentral:lncRNA from 12 species